UUAAUUCUCGGCCCUAACAUUAAAUCAAUUGUAACAUUUAUUUAAGUGGAAAAUUUUUGCCGCCAACUUUAGGGCUGUAUAGUAUCAAUAUAAUAAACCAUAAAACCGGAAUAUAUAGUUGACAUAACCUCAAACAAUUCACUGUGAACACAGUAAACACGAUAGCGUCUGACAAGCAACACAUUAGGCACUGUUUGCUCUUCGCAUUUCAGUUAAAAAAAAACACGUCCGAGAGGUUCCGGAAUAGAAACUUUAACCUGGAGGAUGACGAACGUCGUGGACAACU